GGCAAAGUAGAAUGACAUGCGGUAGUGUCUUUGGAACGGGGAGAUGUCCAAAGAACGAAUUGCUCACAAAUCUUUUAUGUGAGAUGGCGGUAUGUUAUUCGCAUCCCGUUGCU
rnacentral:ncRNA from 2 species